rnacentral:misc_RNA from 1 species
AAAAAAGUGAAGCUCAAGCAUAUCUAUCAUUUCAAACAAAUUGCUAUAGGUGUUAAACAUGAAGUUGAAUGCUUAAUCAAGGAAUCAAUGAAAAAAAAAUGGUGUAACACAAGCAUGGAUUUGAUAGGGAAAUUUUAAGGAGUUUUUAAGGCAAGUUUCGAAAGAGUCAAUGAAGAUGCAUUCACAUGCAUCAGUAGAAGUGGAGUACUUAAAUAGAGAAACGUGGAUAAACCAAAGAAUUUUGUCAUGAGUGAGCAUCAAUUUUAAACCAAUAUCUAAUUAUUAAGACAUAUGUCUGUGAUGAUAUUAUUAAGACAUAUGUCCAUGAUGAUAUAAUUUUGUACAUUAUUAUUAUUAUAUACAUGUAAAAUAGGUGACACUUCCACUGUUCCUAAGAACAAUGAAAGUGCCAUUUCGCCCUUUUCUCUUUAUUUUGAUUGGAUGAACACGUGAUGCAGUAACAAGCAAGUUAUGGUUUUGGACAUUGGCACUUGAGCGUGUUCACAUGUCUACGCAAAAGCAUCAUUUAUAAGAUUCAAGAAAAUAUCCCUCCAAUCUGAAAGUCCUGAUCAUGAUGAACAGGUAUAAUUGGUAUUUUAAUAAUAAUUACAUUUUAU